UAGGGAAUAUUGCACAAUGGAGGAAACUCUGAUGCAGCGACGCCGCGUGAGCGAUGAAGGCCUUCGGGUUGUAAAGCUCUGUUGUACGGGAAGAACACAAUGACGGUACCGUAUAAGAAAGGACCGGCUAACUUCGUGCCAGCAGCCGCGGUAAGACGAGGGGUCCUAGCGUUGUUCGGAAUCACUGGGCGUAAAGCGUAUGUAGGCGGCUUAACAAGUCGGGUGUGAAAUCCCAUGGCUCAACCAUGGAACUGCACUCGAAACUGUCGAGCUUGAGUAUUGGAGAGGAUGACAGAAUUCCUGGUGUAGUGGUGAAAUACGUAGAUAUCAGGAGGAACACCGGUGGCGAAGGCGGUUAUCUGGCCAAAUACUGACGCUGAGAUACGAAAGUGCGGGGAUCAAACAGG
rnacentral:rRNA from 1 species